GCCUUUGUAGCUCAGUUGGUAGAGCGCGGCGUGAGUUGCACACCACAAUCCGGGAGACAAAUCGCAAUCUAACAUUCGAGAUAGACUAGUACACAAUACAGUGAUGCCGAGGUCUUGAGUUCGACUCUCAACGGAGGCA